AACAUCGCGCACCUGCGGGAACCUGCGGAAGGAUCAUUACCGAGUGUGAACCCCCCCGUAAAAAAGAGGGGUUACCUCCCGUCCUUUGCUGGGAACCCCUUUCCAACUUGGAAGGAGGUUGUUUUCAGACCCUUCUGCUUCGGUGGGGUAACCCACCGGAACAACCUCAAAAAUAUUCUCAAUUCAAAACCGUUCAGUCCGAGAACUUUUUUGAAAAGCGAAAAAACUUUCAGCAACGGA
rnacentral:misc_RNA from 1 species